UAUAACAGAACGUCAGCCCCCUGGUAUCAAUCUAGUCUGAGCGCGACUUUUGGGACUGACGGACUACCGCUGUUUGAAUCUCUCUGGGAAACUUGAUAUUUUGCUUCUUUCAAGCCUGAAACCCCUUUUGUCUUGUGGAAAUAACAAGCGCUACAUCGUCAGAAAAGAUGCUGCUCCUACUACUUGGAAUCGUCCUCCUGCACGUUGCUUCUCUGGUUCUCCUGUUUGUGUCAACGAUAGUCAGCGUAUGGACGUCAACCGAAUUCAGCACCUCAGACCUCUGGUACAACUGCACUACUAGCAAUGGAGGAUACCACUGUGACUACGCAUCAUCUGGAGGUCAGACACCUGCUUUA